UAGAACGCUAGCGGCAGGCUUAACACAUGCAAGGUCGAGGGGCAUCACGGGUAGCAAUACCUGGUGGCGACCGGCGCAAGGGUGCGUAACGCGUGAGCAACAUGCCCUAUACAGGGGGAUAAUCCAGGGAAACUUGGUCUAAUAUCCCAUAGCAUUUAGAGGUGGCAUCACCAUUAAAUUAAAGCUUCGGUGGUAUAGGAUUGGCUCGCGUGACAUUAGCUAGAUGGUGGGGUAACGGCUCACCAUGGCUAUGAUGUCUAGGGGUUCUGAGAGGAAGACCCCCCACACUGGGACUGAGACACGGCCCAGACUCCUACGGGAGGCAGCAGUGAGGAAUAUUGGACAAUGGAUGGAAAUCUGAUCCAGCCAUGCCGCGUGCAGGAAGACGGCCCUAUGGGUUGUAAACUGCUUUUAUAUGGGAGCAAUAAGGUCUACGAGUAGACCGAUGAGAGUACCAUAUGAAUAAGCAUCGGCUAACUCCGUG
rnacentral:rRNA from 1 species